rnacentral:lncRNA from 1 species
CCGCCUGAGCGGCGCCGCGAGGACAAGGCGGCCGGGCGGCGUGAAUGGGCGGCGUCACGCGCCUGGCGCCAGAGAGUCUGCUCCCGGGCUCCGGCCCCGGCCCCGCCGCGGCCCGGCCCGCGCGCCGCUGCCGCCGCCGCCGCGCAUUCAUCACCUGUCAGGGCUCGCUCGGGGGGUCACGGGCGGGAUGGACACAGCUGGGAGAACAAAACCGGGGGGAAGAGAGGCGAGCGCUCCCCAGCGCGCCAGAUGUGCCGGGAGGACCUUGAGACACCCCCUCCUCCGCACCCCACCUCCGCCUUCCCGCAGGCUCCUCCCGCCCCCAGUUGCAUCACGCGGGGCGGGGGAUGGGGGUUGGAAUUGCAAAGGCCGUCCGGCCAGCCUGGCGCGCCCGGCCCGGAGCUGCUUCUCAUUACCGCGAGGGGCCAGUCGCGCUGGGAGCCGGCGGCGGCCGGGCCGGGGUGGAGACCGAGGGAGUGAAGCCCUGGAACCAGCUGGGCUGGCGCCCGUUCCGCCCACCCCCACGGCGAUUGGCUGCGAACGCGGAAGGACGGAGCUCUCCCCUCGCGCCCGCGCCUGCCAAUGGGCGCGCCCGCCCGGCCUGAUGGACGCACCGCCUUCCACCAAUGAGGGCGCGGGGAAGCCGGGUCGUGUGGCCCCGGCGAGCGCGUAUAAAAGCCGCCGGGCCGGGCUCCCCGCUUCAUUCUGA